rnacentral:lncRNA from 1 species
GGGCAAGAUUAAGUAAUAAUGUAAGAAGAGCAUGUAGGAAGGGAGAUGAAAGUUUUAGUCAUACUGGAGCAAAACACUUCUCAUUAAAUAUUGUGGGAACAGAGACUCAAGAGAGGUGAAGUUGACUAUAAACUCAUUGAACCGUGCCAUUUCAGUACAGAGACGGGAACCAGUGUAAAGGAUUGAUUACACAGAUGGAGAAUAUCAAGUAAAAGGAAAAGAAGAAGAUGAUUAAGGAUCAAGGGAGUGUAAAAGAGAG